rnacentral:rRNA from 1 species
GUCUCCGGUUUGAUCCUGGCUCAGAUUGAACGCUGGCGGCAUGCUUUACACAUGCAAGUCGAACGGCAGGCACGGGGGCAACCUUGGUGGCGAGUGGCGAACGGGUGAGUAAUGCAUCGGAACGUAUCUUCAAGUGGGGGGAUAACGCACCGAAAGGUGUGCUAAUACCGCAUAAUCUCUACGGAGAAAAGCAGGGGAUCGCAAGACCUUGCGCUUUUGGAGCGGCCGAUGCCUGAUUAGCUAGUUGGUGAGGUAAAGGCUUACCAAGGCGAUGAUCGGUAGCUGGUCUGAGAGGAUGAUCAGCCAGACUGGGACUGGGACACGGCCCAGACUCC